UACGUAGGUGGCGAGCGUUACUCGGAUUCACUAGGCGUAAAGCGGGUGUAGGCGGGUAGCUAAGUUUUCUGUGCAAGCCUCGGGCUCAACCCGAGGAGGUCAGAAAAUACUGGUUAUCUUGAGUGAGGUGUGGGAGGCUGGAAUUCCCGGUGUAGCGGUGAAAUGCGUAGAUAUCGGGAAGAACACCGAUGGCGAAAGCGGGCCUCUGGGCCUUUACUGACGCUGAGACCCGAAAGCUAGGGGAGCAAACAGG
rnacentral:rRNA from 1 species